UAGGGAAUCUUCGGCAAUGGACGAAAGUCUGAUCGAGCAACGCCGCGUGCGUGAAGAAGGUUUUCGGAUCGUAAAACUCUGUUGUUAGAGAAGAACAAGGACGUUAGUAACUGCACGUCCCCUGACGGUAUCUAACCAGAAAGCCACGGCUAACUACGUGCCAGCAGCCGCGGUAAUACGUAGGUGGCAAGCGUUGUUCGGAUUUAUUGGGCGUAAAGCGAGCGCAGGCGGUUUCUUAAGUCUGAUGUGAAAGCCCCCGGCUCAACCGGGGAGGGUCAUUGGAGACUGGGAGACUUGAGUGCAGAAGAGGAGAGUGGAAUUCCAGGUGUAGCGGUGAAAUGCGUAGAUAUAUGGAGGAACACCAGUGGCGAAGGCGGCUCUCUGGGCUGUAACUGACGCUGAGGCUCGAAAGCGUGGGGAGCAAACAGG
rnacentral:rRNA from 1 species